AGCAGCCGCGGUAAUUCCAGCUCCAAUAGCGUAUAUUAAAGUUGUUGCAGUUAAAAAGCUCGUAGUUGAAUUUCGGGGUCUGUCCAUUGGUCGGGCUUUACGGUCCGUACUGGUGUGAUAGGUUCCUACCUUCUGAAUAACCGGCGUGCCAUUCAGUUGGUGCGCCGGGGAAGCAGAGCUAUUACCUUGGAAAAAUUAGAGUGCUUAAAGCAGGCUAUUGCUUGAAUAGAUUAGCAUGGAAUAAUAAAAUAGGACGGCAUGGUUCUAUUUUGUUGGUUUCUAGGAUCACCGUAAUGAUUAAUAGGGAUAGUUGGGGGCAUUAGUAUUCAAUUGUCAGAGGUGAAAUUCUUGGAUUUAUUGAAGACUAACUUCUGCGAAAGCAUUUGCCAAGGAUGUUUUCAUUAAUCAAGAACGAAAGUUAGGGGAUCGAGGACGAUCAGAUACCGUCGUAGUCUUAACCAUAAACUAUGCCGACUAGGGAUCGGACGAUGUUAAUUUUUAAUGACUCGUUCGGCGCCUU
rnacentral:rRNA from 1 species